AUCAUCAUCAUCAUUGGUUCUAAAGGUCCAUUUGGGAAUUUAUUCUUUGCAAUCUAGCCAUAAAAAUGUUGAUAGAUCAUGAUUGUAAAUACUUUAGGUUUCUUAAAGUGAAGUCCAUAGCCGUUCCCCUUGGAGUACUUAGCUGGAUUAGACUGCUCUCUCUGAUCUUAAAAUACUUAUUAAAGCCAAAGAAAUACUAGUUUUGUAAAUCCUUAGAUGGCACACCCAUACAGCUGGUACCACAAAUGAUGUCACAUUUCAGGAAGAUCGGCUAAUAUAUUCCAUGGGAUCAAAGGUACUGCUUAGGAUGAAAUGUUUUACUUCUAGUUCCCAGGCUGGUCUUUGAUUCAGACCCAAAUUAGAGAAAAACCUAGCCUUUCAAACAGGUCUUUGCUGAACCAAUUUUGACAGCACUUAAUUGACCAAGGUUAUUUAUUACCACAUUUAGUAAUUUGGGUGAGAUUUCUCGUUUCUCAAAACAAGUUUUGCUUACACCCUCUCAAAAGAAUGUUACUGGUAUGUGGGUAGGUUGUCUGGGGCCAGCCUCUUAUCUAGAGCCCAGAUUCAAAAAGUCUGAGUUCAGCGAAGUGACUUAGACUGGGUGCUUUUGUUCUGUUUUGUUUAAUAAGCAUGUAUGGAUCUUGCUAAAACACGGUGCUACCCCCAUCCAAGAACAAUGCGGCACACAUCAUUUCCUGAAAUAAUAGAGUUGGAAGGCCAUUAUCUACUCACAAAACAGGCUGAAACAACAGUUCCUGAUAUUCUUCUCAAAUACUUUAACUUCCCAAGGAAUCCGGAAAAAAUAAUUCCAUGAGCCGGUGUUGUGAAUGAAGGUAUGACAUUUCAGUUUCCUUCACUGGAAUCUAGUGACCAGCAGUAAUGAAUUACUACCCACUUGGCGUUACUAAGAGGGACUCUGGCCGGCCUGUAAUGAAUCCCUCCACCAGGAGUAGACAGAAGACAUAAACUACCAGUCUCAUUUCGCCCGGCUUCAGGUCUUACAGGGUUACCGCUCAUGUUUAUCCACGUGACUCAAGAAACACGGCACCCUUCCAUGUAGCUCUGUCUUCUGUUUAAAGAUGAACAGUAGAAUGGAUCCAACGGACUUCGAUUUGGAGUUCCACUUAACAAGACGCACUGCAGAAUGACUCCAUUCUGUCCCUCUCGUGUGAUCAGCUCCAGGGUAAACCAUUAAGUGUCCAAUCAUGGGAAUAAGAGGACCCUCUUGUUAAAUGGGAUUUCUCUCCUAUUAUGGAAUCCGGAAGGAGGCAGACAGAGUGUUUGUUAAAUGUGCAGGAUGAAUGCGUAUCCUUAUUCCCGGACUUUGCUUUGACGGGCCUUUUCCAUCAACCCUCAGCUGGACGAGCUGGGGACAACAGAGUUAGUGACCCCCGACCCAUCUGGUAGCUGGACACAGGGGACAGCCUCUUACAUAUCCCAGAUCUGCUUCAAACAGUGGGUCAUCCAAACAUCCAAAGCCAGGAGAAAAUGUGUCUCCAUCAUUAUCGUGUGACUUAAUUACACACUAGAAAGUUCUAACCGAACCUUAAAAAAAAAAGCCCUCUUGUUACAUAUAAUUAGAAUUCCUUUUUGUGCUAUCCAGACCCACUGGCACUGGCAACCUUCUCAGGAGACCCAUCGCGUUUACUUUCUGUGGCGAUGGAAAUGCGCUGUAUCUCUUCUGCCCAGUGGGGUGGCCGUUAGCUACAUCGGACUCUUGAGCACUUACGAUGUGGCCAGUGGGACCGAGGCACUGAAUGUUGAGUGCGAUUCGACUUGAAUUAACUUGUGAGCAAUAACGCCAUCUGGACUUUAGCACUGCUUACUUCCCCAUCUCAUUUUGACAUUAGCGUACCAGCAGGUGACAUCGCCAUUGCCUUCCUUCCCGGGCAGUGCGUUGGCUCCCUUUUUGUCAUUAGGAUUUAAAAGCGACACUCAGGUGUCACUUGGCUGUUUUCACACAGUUUUAGUAAAAGCGACACAGUCUCACCACUGUGGAAAGGCUGGGGGCUGCCCUUACGCCUAACCCCUGAACGGCGAUCUCAGGCCACAACCUCAGGGAAGCCUCUUUUUUCUAAAUGGAGCAACUGGGAGUGAAAAAUCUAGAAAUCUCAUGUUGGCAUAACCGAGAGCGACAUGGGGUACUAGGAAAUUCCAUCAGUAAGCCAAGUAACUUCUUAGCAACAGGGCCCGUGUCCUUUAUCUGUUUCCUUAGUUCCUAGCAUAAAUUUUAAUGUUUCUCAAAUGAGUGAAAUAAUAUGUGGGAUAAACUGAUAUGGCUCAGAAACGAUGCUGGUGACAGAGCACUGAAGACGGUGUCUUUAUUAGCAGGGAAAAUGUGAGUGCUUCUGGGCGCCUGUUCACACGCCGCUCCCCAGCUGCCGAUAAUGCUUCCAGAAGCACAGGGAGAACACGUCUGCUCCACGGGCUUAGGGCUUCCUGUCUGCUCGCCCUGCUCAUGCUGCCCUGCCAUCUCCUGCAAGCCAGCGCGGACCCUCGGUAAAUUUAUAGGUUACCUAGGGGAACCUUCUAAGUGGGCGGGCAGCUCCUCACUAAAGGGACAUUUGGAAGGCACGCUGCGGUCCUGUUUUGUGCGUGCAUCUGCUCUGCACUUAAUGCCGGGCCCUGCAGUCAUCUGCCCGUGAGUCUGUCUCUCAUAUCCAUGUCCUUGUUCCCUUUGCCCACCACAGUGGCUGGCACCUCAUGGGUGCUGAGCAAAUGUUUGCCGAAAGCAUGUUAAAUAAAAGCCCAGGUGGUGAGUGGCCCUAACCAUGAAGCUGUGGCAUGGGGAAGGCUUAUCUGUCGCCCCUUGAGGGUGUGGACUGAUGAGGGGGACAAUUGAUCGUGCCAGUGAGGACGCUUUUGAGUGUGAAAACAGUGAGGUGCUGGUCAUUUUCUACUUCUUGUAGAAAACUGGUAGCUUCCUACUUCACCUUGAAAAAAGCUGAAUUAAUUAAAUUAACUUAAUUUAAAAAGUUAUUAAUACAUA